GGUGGCUUCGUCUAGUGGUUAGGACAAUACGUUGUGGAUCAGAGCUUCUUAAGCUCAUUCCGGCGUGGACCGUGUAAACCUGGGUUCGAUUCCCAGAGCCGCCA